UAAUACGAAGGUGGCAAGCGUUGUUCGGAUUUACUGGGCGUACAGGGAGCGUAGGCGGUUGGGUAAGCCCUUCGUGAAAUCUCCGGGCCUAACCCGGAAAGUGCGGAGGGGACUGCUCGGCUAGAGGAUGGGAGAGGAGCGCGGAAUUCCCGGUGUAGCGGUGAAAUGCGUAGAGAUCGGGAGGAAGGCCGGUGGCGAAGGCGGCGCUCUGGAACAUUUCUGACGCUGAGGCUCGAAAGCGUGGGGAGCAAACAGG
rnacentral:rRNA from 1 species